GAUGAACGCUGGCGGCGUGCCUAAUACAUGCAAGUCGAGCGAACGGACGAGAAGCUUGCUUCUCUGAUGUUAGCGGCGGACGGGUGAGUAACACGUGGAUAACCUACCUAUAAGACUGGGAUAACUUCGGGAAACCGGAGCUAAUACCGGAUAAUAUUUUGAACCGCAUGGUUCAAAAGUGAAAGACGGUCUUGCUGUCACUUAUAGAUGGAUCCGCGCUGCAUUAGCUAGUUGGUAAGGUAACGGCUUACCAAGGCAACGAUGCAUACCCGACCUGAGAGGGUGAUCGGCCACACUGGAACUGAGACACGGUCCAGACUCCUACGGGAGGCAGCAGUAGGGAAUCUUCCGCAAUGGGCGAAAGCCUGACGGAGCAACGCCGCGUGAGUGAUGAAGGUCUUCGGAUCGUAAAACUCUGUUAUUGGGGAAGAACAUAUGUGUAAGUAACUGUGCACAUCUUGACGGUACCUAAUCAGAAAGCCACGGCUAACUACGUG
rnacentral:rRNA from 1 species